UGCAGCAGCCAUGAAAGCCAUGCUCUCUGCAACUCACAUGGUCGCUCACUGAAGCUAAGCAGGGCUGCGCCCGGUCAGUGACUGGAUGGGAGACCACAUGGGAACACUAGGUUGCUGCCGGAA
ensembl:rRNA 5S_rRNA 5S ribosomal RNA